UGCAUUCACUACUGUAAGUCACUCUGGAUAAGAGUGUCUGCUAAAUGACUGAAA
rfam:Salmo salar isolate Sally breed double haploid chromosome ssa07, whole genome shotgun sequence.